AUUGAACGCUAGCGGGAUGCUUUACACAUGCAAGUCGAACGAGUGGCGGACGGGUGAGUAAUAUAUCGGAACGUGCCCAGUAGCGGGGGAUAACUACUCGAAACAGUGGCUAAUACCGCAUACUAUUGGACCUGCCGCUCUCGGAUUAGCUCGUUGGUGGGGUAAAGGCUCACCAAGGCAACGAUCCGUAGAUGGUCUGAGAGGCCGACCAGCCACACUGGGACUGAGACACGGGCCAGGCUCCUACGGGAGGCAACGGUGGGGAAUGUUGCACAAUGGGGGAAACCCUGAUCCAGCCAUACCGCGUGUAUGAGAAGGCCUUCGGGUUGUAAAGUACUGUGGGCAUAGAAGCGGUAUCUGCAGAAUAAGCCCCGGCUAACUACGUGCGAGCAGCCGCGGUAAUUC
rnacentral:rRNA from 1 species